CACCCACCACCCAAGUACCCUUGACUAAUAGUCCACACAGUAAACGUAGGAGAUUUAUGUAAGUGUUUCUUCUCUUUCCAUCCCCCGUUAAGUGUCUUAAGUGGUUAUCUUAUGUAGUAUAUGCCUUUCUAGCUUACUUGGUCUAAACUCUAUUACGUAUUGUCUUGUGCUUACCGUACACGUCGCGGUGUGUGUAACGUUAUCUGUAAAGAUCAGUUGUCUCCAAAGUGUUGCGAAAAAUAAAACACGCGUGUCCGAAUUCGCAAACGUCUCUCUCUGCCACGCUAAUUAAUGCGGUUAUUAAAACUAGUUAUCUGCAAAAUUCAUCGGAAUCUAACCGCGCAACGUUCAUAAACUCGUGCAUUAACGCGAUUAAACUUCCAAACUGAUAAGUUGUUACGGUUUAAUUAAUAACUUUAAAUAAAAUAAUAAAAGGAUCGAAUUUAUUGAAAGUGUGCGUGAUUGUUUUGUAUAUUAAUCAUUAUCUGUCAGGCAAUGAAUAAUUGUCAAACAGGAAUAUGAAUGCCCGCCGUCACUUUAUGAAUGAAUUAUUUCGCAUACAUUUCGACACAUUAUUAUUUGUUUAAUAGUUUUUAAAACGUAAUCGUCUUGGUUGGUCAUCGAAAAAUUCCGAUUCGUUCAACGGAGGGAUUAAAAAAGUUUACCAGUAACGAAAAGUUAGGAAAGAGCUCUCGACAUUUUUAUAAAAUUAAUUUCUUCGAUAGUCGUGUUUCGCCCCGAGCGGUUUUCGGGAGUUUCACUUUCUCUAAUCUUUUGUAAAGAAUGGGAAGAAAAAAGGAAAGUGAAAAGAAAGGAUAGGUGUAAAUUUAUGUCAUGGGAAAAAUAUUCGGAAUAUUUUAAGAACACUAGAAAACGCUUCCUCAUCACUCUCGAUGAAAAUGGGACAUUUGUUAACUCCCUUCAUUAUGUAAGUAAUGGCGCUGCUUUAUUGUUUAUGGCAAUAAGAAAAGGUAAAAAAAGAAGUUUCCCGGCCAUCCUCUCUUUUUUUGUUAUGGCAGAUAAAUGUGCCAAGAUCUAAAGCUAAGUUGGCAUGUCGUUGAAUUUGGCCAGUAGAAAGAGAGAAGAUAUUUACAGGUAGGAAGAGAAAUCUCAGUGUGAGAUUGUUCUACCGGCCAUUUACUGGCAGAAGGAGUGAGCGAAACGGGGGAACCAUUAGGACACAACCAACAAUGGUAUCACGACCCACUCCUAUCACACUGCAACAUUAGUCGCUUUUUUUUCUUCUUCUUCUACUCUUCCCCCCUCUUUCCACUGCACACUCUAGUUGGCAGUAAUGGCGGAAUCCGUGCUCCCCGGAGGCGGCAACAUCACCUGCCCCAUUACCGGUAAUUAUCUCCGGAGAUCCUAGACUAUCGAUCCACCUGAUAGAUAUAUAUAGCCAGGAAAAGCCACUCGAAAAUGACCGGUUUUAAGAACUAACCAUCGCUCACGUCGCAUCACGUUCCGAUGUAAACACCUUCACUCUGCUGCCCCGAAAAUCUCAGCGACUCAGACGUGCUUUAUAAAGAUACCAACCGAUUUUUUUUUUCCCUUCAUCUUGACUGAUAGCCAACGGUUCGCUUCGUCAAUCUGAUAGAAUACAUAUAUGUUUGUGUUUGUGUACUGCUAUUGAUAUUUAAACAUUCUCUCUCUCUCCUGUUGUUGUUGUUGAUGUUGCUGCUGCUGCUGCUAUAAGAUCUUUUCAACAUUCGUGACCGACCGUUCCCCUCGUCCGGUUUGGUGCGUGGAUGGGAAUAUUAUGUUUCUCAACCCCCGUUUGUCGAUCACGGUUAUUGGGUUAACGGGUUACUUCGGUACGUAACCGCUCUAUCAGAAUUAUCUGUUGCGAAUACGUAACGUCGAAUGCGAAAUUUCGAUAUAAUUACACUUUUUUUUUCCCCCUAUCAAUCGAUCAAAUAUCUUUCGUGUAUCCAUUGUUGCAAUGUAGAAACAGAUCUGAAGUUCUUACAUAUAAUGCCUCGGAGGUAGAAAUUGUGGAUCAUCCGAGACUUUCUAUAUUGUCUCAUGAUUGAUGAUGGCAAUCUGAGGUUAAACACGGGAAUUCUGCUUGGCGAUUGAUAACCCAGUCGAGUAAAUAAAUAGAUCAAUUUUGUUAACGUUUAUUUAUUUACAGUAUUUAUAUUUUUUUGGUGUUUUUAUUCUAAAGACGCGACUCGACGUUAUAAAUCUCUAAACGCGGACGUUAAACGGGGUAUCGGAUAAUAUAUAUAAAUAUAAAUUUAAAGUCUGUUCAUUGUUAUGCCGAAUCCAUAAGCGCUAUUAAUUUUUAAAAUGUUUAAAUUGUGUAAUUUCGGAGACCACAUUUCGAGUGAAUGCUAAUGAUACGGGAGAGCAUUGUCUUGGUAGUCAUUAUUCAUUGAUGUUAUCUGUUUCCAUUGUGCACACGUGUAAUGAACCGAGCCUUUUAAUAGAUUUAUGUAAUUCUUUUACAUUAAAUAUUUGUGUUGAGUUCCAACAGUCGAUGAUCCUUUCUAGGCUAUUUUAUUCUCUUCUUCAGUUUUUUUGUAUCGUCCGAUUUUUUUCUAGACGGUCGAAAGUGGGGAUGACAAAAAUUCUGCUGUUUAGAAAUCAACGCGAAAGGGGUACAACUUCCUGAUAAUAUUGCAACAUCUCCGAGCAAUAGAGAGUAGGAAAAAAAUUCGCAUUUUCUACGGGGGCUAAGUUCAAGUACGUUUUUAUGAAUUACUGUGCUUACACGCGUGUUUCUUUCCCUCUUACUAAAGCGAAACAAGGAUUUUUUUUUUCUUCUACAGUUAAAUGAAUUGAUACUAUUUUAAGACAAUAGCGAGUACCGAGCGAACAAGAACAUAUUUUCUACGUGCCAUAAAGUAUGUCGAAGUACAACAUCGAAUUUUAAACUCUGUUGCCAUCUUCAAGUGCGAGUUAUAAAUUGUGUCUGAUAACUGAUCUUUACAGAAUUUUUCUGUAUGGUUUAAAUUGCAGUUUACCUCUCUUUUUCUCUCUCAACCAGGAGAUGACGGUGAUGAUAACUUCUACCACUCCUUGUUUACCAUUCGCAGUCAAUGUUAAAAAUAAGCAUGUACAUUUUCCAAGUAUGGUAAUGUAAAAAAAUAGUCUGAUAUUGCGAGGAAAAGUUGUCGGAUUCGUUUGUCUCGUACAUCAUUUCUGAUGUCCUUGACCAAGGAACUACACAACACGUCAGAGCCAAGCGGAAUUAAAUUACGUUUAUUCUACAUGUACUAAAAUUUAUACAUCAUCUUUAAAAUAAUGGACACCGUAAUAGCCUCUAAUAUACGACCAACGGAGUUGGAGCUAAAAAUUCGCUUUUAGCUAUCCAUUAAAUAUAAUAACGAAAGGAAGAAGAGGAGGAAAUUUUAUUCGCAUUUUUCCCAUUUGCAUCUAGAUUAAGUAAAGGUUACAUUUUCACUAUUCGUAAUGUUUUUAUUUUAUUUAAAAAAAAAUAAAAGUAAGCUGCGGAUUUCUGAAAAUUAUGUGUAGCCAGUUGAUAGAAAAGGGAUUCGUUGCACUCAAAAACGUUUUAGAUAUUAAGAAAUUCAGUUUGAGGAAUGUAAAAACUGAGAAUUCUUUACGUAUCUCUAUUGAUAACCUUUCGCUAUAAUUAAUUGAAUGCACGUUUUGUUAUCUGUUUAUAUAAGACCAAUGCCAGCCAAAAAUGGAUUCUUUCAACCAAGAAUAUUAUAAUGUUCGCUUAUUUAUCCAUGUUUGAUUUUCUUGUUAUAAAAAGAAAAAAAAAACUAAAACCGUUAAUUUGUUGGUGAAUGUGGGGUUAAAACAGAAUUUAUUUUCCAUUAGAGAAAGAGAGAGAGGAUUUUUGUGUUAUUAAAUUUAUAAUGUUACAAGUUUUUCUCCUCGGCUACACUAGAUUUAAAAAUU
rnacentral:lncRNA from 1 species